GACAGAGGGUGCAAACGUUGUUCGGAAUUACUGGGCGUAAAGCGUGCGCAGGCGGUAAUGUAAGACAGUUGUGAAAUCCCCGGGCUCAACCUGGGAACUGCAUCUGUGACUGCAUUGCUGGAGUACGGCAGAGGGGGAUGGAAUUCCGCGUGUAGCAGUGAAAUGCGUAGAUAUGCGGAGGAACACCGAUGGCGAAGGCAAUCCCCUGGGCCUGUACUGACGCUCAUGCACGAAAGCGUGGGGAGCAAACAGG
rnacentral:rRNA from 1 species